CGCGUGUUGGGGUAGCUGUUCCUCGAGACAAAGUGGAGACAUUGGGUCGCUGAGGUCAUCAUGAAGUUGAAGAGUUUUACCAUUUGCUCAAGGUCAUCACUGAAAGGAGGCUCCUUGUUCUGGGGCAGGGGGCAGAAGGAGCACCAGGCUGGGCCACCGGAAGGCUGCAUUUGACAUCGGCCACUUGCAGAGGUGCUGGUCUCUGUCAUUGCACACCCUGAGUUCCAGAGAGUGGACACUGGUACAUUCUCACCACAGCCCCCAGAGCUGCUGCUACAGCUGGAGGAGACCAUGGCUGCCACUGUAGGCCUCAGUACCCUUGGAGGAUGGCUGCCAGGGUGAACCUUCCUGCCCAAGACUCCCCACCUGCCCCCAUGGCCUGAUGAUCAACUACAUAGUGGACAAACUGGAGGAAAGGACUAGCACCUCUGACAAGAUGUUGCUCUUCUUGGUUUGGCCUGCAGUGAAAUGUGUGGCCACCUUCCAGAACAUCGACAUAUCCCAAGAGGAGGAUCAUGCUAGAAACAUUCUCCUUCAUGUCUUUGCUGUAGACAUCAGCAACCAUGCAUCAUUUCAAGUUGUGGUAGCAAUCAGUCUACAUGCAGUAAAUGAUCUAAUCAAAGUAUCACUAUCAAUACUCGGAAUAUGUACUACCCAAGGAGGUGCAUGUGUGACUGCACUCUAUGAUCAGGGAAUUGGUGCUGUUGCCGAUGUAGAAGAGGAUAAAGGAUUGCCUACAAUUCAGAGGCUCUCAAAACACCUUCCAAAAAUCAGCCAUGUUGUUUUGUGGUACUUGUUGAGGUCCCUACCCGUGAUGUUUCAACACUCCUCAUUCAAUCCAAAGACAACUUUGAAGUCACUGUUGUGUGUUAUUCCAAGCAUGCUUUCCCAUCAGCAACCCACUUUCAAGAUACCAACACUGGAAGAGAAUCAGAAGGUAGUGGGAUGCUCUAUUUUGUAACCUGAGGAGCAGGAUACUCUUUGGAACGUGAGAUUCAGGGAUAUAAAUUCUGAUGGGCAAAUUUAUAGAGUAAAAAUUCAAUAUAUAAUAUAUAAUUUUAUAUAUAUAUAUAAAACCACCUAUGGGUGGUCUAGGCCAUUCAUUCAAUUAUGACAGUGAUGGGAAUGUAGAUUGUGAGCAGAGUAGCAGUGCAAUGUUUCUCCAUUCUCAUCCAGGAGACAAUUCACUGAUCUGACUAAACCACACAGAGAGAAGUAGAUAAUGUUAGAAGCAGGAACCUGCAAGCCAAGGGGCAACUCUGGCUCUCAGCCCUGAGUUGGGGGCAGUGGGAACAUAGUUUCCACACUAAGCUUUUCUCUGCUGAACUGUUGGUAUUGACAGUCUCCUGAGGUUGUAAUUGACCCUGCCCGGCUGGGAUAAGCACAUGCAGCUCCAU